rnacentral:rRNA from 1 species
UACGUAGGGGGCAAGCGUUGUCCGGAAUCAUUGGGCGUAAAGAGCGUGUAGGCGGCCCGGUAAGUCCGCUGUGAAAGUCGAGGGCUCAACCCUCGAAUGCCGGCGGAUACUGUCGGGCUAGAGUCCGGAAGAGGCGAGUGGAAUUCCUGGGUGUAGCGGUGAAAUGCGCAGAUAUCAGGAGGAACACCUACGGCGAAGGCAGCUCGCUGGGACGGUACUGACGCUGAGACGCGAAAAGCGUGGGGAGCAAACAGG